CUAUUGGGGAGGGCUCUUCUUGGCGUGAUGAUGGUGAUGGUGGUGGAAGGGCUGAGGGGGGCGAGUUCAGAACUUUGCCUGGACUGGGAGGGUGGGAGGACCUGGAGGGAGGGAUAAAAGUCGUUUUGUUUGGUGAUGCCGAGUUGACCCAGCAGCCUUGGAAGCCCUCACCCGGGAAGGCAGCGAGCUGUUUGCCUGUUUACAGCGAAGGUUCCCACUUAAGUUCCAGCCCACUGCCUGGGUUGGAAGUCCGAGAGGAAACGAACGCAGGGAGUUCUCCGGGAGGCUGUCUUACACUUCCGCACGGAUGCAGGAGACCGGGGCCGAGGAUUAAGUGUGAAGGAGGAUUCUGGCAGUUGGGCUGA
rnacentral:lncRNA from 1 species